UACAGGGGUCUCAAGCGUUGUUCGGAUUCAUUGGGCGUAAAGGGUGCGUAGGCGGCGCGGUAAGUCGGGUGUGAAAUCUCGGAGCUUAACUCCGAAACUGCAUUCGAUACUGCCGUGCUUGAGGACUGGAGAGGAGACUGGAAUUUACGGUGUAGCGGUGAAAUGCGUAGAUAUCGUAAGGAAGACCAGUGGCGAAGGCGGGUCUCUGGACAGUUCCUGACGCUGAGGCACGAAGGUCAGGAGAGCAAACGGG
rnacentral:rRNA from 1 species